UACGUAGGGGGCAAGCGUUGUCCGGAAUUAUUGGGCGUAAAGAGCGCGUAGGCGGUCCGAUAAGUCGGCUGUGAAAGUCAAGGGCUCAACCCUUGAAAGCCGGCCGAUACUGUCGGACUAGAGUCCGGAAGAGGCAAGUGGAAUUCCCGGUGUAGCGGUGAAAUGCGCAGAUAUCAGGAGGAACACCGGUGGCGAAGGCGGGUCUCUGGGCCGAUACUGACGCUGAGGAGCGAAAGCGUGGGGAGCGAACAGG
rnacentral:rRNA from 1 species